GGUCUUUGGAUGAAGGGAUGUGCGGUUAAAAUGAUAGUGAUCCCCUAGAGUUGAGUGGGUGGUUAGUUGAAUAAUAUGAUCUAACGGAUGAAAAUGGUCAAAAAGGUAGAUCUAACGGCACACAAUUCGAUAACACCAAGCAUUUGAUACUAUUGAUAAUAUAGUAGACGGACUCUAUCUCUCUCUCUCUCUCUCUAUAUAGUCCGGCUACUAUACUAUCUAUACUAUUGAUAAUACUAAGCGCUUUGUACUAUUGAGUUUUCUGCCGUUAGAUCUGCCUAUAUAUAUAUAGAGUUCGGCUAUUAUACUAUCGAUAGUACCAAGCAUUUGAUGCUAUCAAGUUUUCUACUAUUAGAUCUAUCCCUUUAGUCAUUUUCAUCCGUUAGAUCAUACUAUUCAACUAGCCACCCACUCAACCCCAGGGGGCUACUAUCAUCCUUACCGCACAUCCCUUCAUCCAAAGACCGAAAACCUAAUAGCAUGCGGUUUGUGCUAUUAAUAGUAUAAUAACCAAAUUCUAUAUAUAUAGGCUCGGGCUACUAUACUCUUACAAAUAUAUACCUUUUUAUAUUUAUAAAUUUUCAGCCGUUGGAUGUGCGAUUAGAAUGAUAGUGAUCCCCUAAGAUUGAGUGGGUGGUUCGUUGAAUAGUAUGAUUUAGCGGAUGAAAAUGGUCAAAAGGAUAUAAAUCUAACGAUCGAAAACUUAUGAAUAUAAAGGGAUUUAUA
rnacentral:lncRNA from 1 species